ACACACUGGCGCGUUCUGUGCACCUUCUGAAGCGAUAUCAGAUGGUAUUAAUUCUUGCUUGUCUUUAAAAAAAAUUUUGGGUUUUCGUUCUGUUGAGCGCUAUACAAAUCAUUUUUUUCCAAACUUUGCAUGCGUGAAAGCGAAAAAAUUAAAAUUCCUAUAGACAAGUCCUUUGUAUGCAUAGAAUACCCUGGCAAAGUUAAUAAUGUUGAAGCUGCUUUAUUAACUUUGGGCGGCAAGGAAAAAAUUUUAAAAUGUAUACGAAGUAGUUCAGAAAAUUUGGUUUUAAAUUUUGAUAGCGACUCAAUCUCUCAAGGGGUUUCAAGUGUUUCUGAUAAAAAACUUCAAUUGUUAGUGAAGGUUUUAUAUAAUCGAAAAAGUAAGGAGUACCAAAUCUUUUUUCUGGGCGUGAUUGAAAAAUGUUAUUAUUUCGCGGACAUAUUUGAUUUCCAUCAGGCACCGAAAAAUAUAGUAGUGCCUAAAACCCCUCACCCUCUUGAUGACUCAGCCUGGCAAAUUAGGGAACUUGUGGCCCCGUAUGUAAACGCGUUUCCCUCUGCAAGCUACCUCAUCUUUCAUUCUUUUAUUUUAAUUCUCUAAUUUUUUUUAUCUUUUA